rnacentral:misc_RNA from 1 species
GAUGAAGAACGUAGCGAAAUGCGAUACGUAAUGUGAAUUGCAGAAUUCAGUGAAUCAUCGAAUCUUUGAACGCAUAUUGCGCUCUCUGGUAUUCCGGAGAGCAUGCUUGUUUGAGUAUCAGUAAACACCUCAACUUCCAUAUCUUUUUUGAAAUGGGAGUUGGACUUGAGUGAUCCCAACGCUUUUCCUCACCGAAAAGUGGCGGGUUACUUGAAAUGCAGGUGCAGCUGGACUUUUCUCUGAGCUAUAAGCAUAUCUAUUUAGUCUGCCUAAAAACAGAUUAUUACCUUUGCUGCAGCUAACAUAAAGGAGAUUAGUUCUUGUGCUGACUGAUGCAGGAUUCACAAAGACAGGCUUCGGCCGACUUUGUAAACUCGAUCUCAAAUCAAGAAAGACUACCCGCUGAACUUAAGCAUAUCAAUAAGCGGAGGA